rnacentral:lncRNA from 1 species
CUUGUGAGUGAGGAGGACAGAGAAACCACCCGAUUAUUUUGAGUCACGGGGUAAGCCGUUAGGAGUAAAACCUAAGAGCGGGAAGCCUGAAAGCUGCGUCCAUCCAUGAAAUCCUUGUCGGUCAGAGAGGUCCCUGAAAAUGCCAGUCACAGUUUCACUGGUGCUCAGGUAGCUGAAACGAGGCAGAAGAAAUGGGCUCUCCUCUGAGAAGCAACAUCAGGACAAGAGCUACCACUGUGCUUCCUGCUUUACAAUGGGGGCCCUGCUUCAUCACUCCGGGCCAUUCCAGAAACGGAAGCCUUCCGGGCUUCCAGAAGCUGUUAGCUGCAACCUGCCUGGGCCAGGCCCACAUUCUGCUCCCGAGGAUAAUUCCUACAUGCUUCUGCCUGUAUCCUCUCAUUCCACAGCUUCAGAGAGGAUCGUCUUCCACACGUGCACAAAGGAUCGACCUGGUUGAGCAAGUCAACAGAAGAUCAGAGAAUGGCAAAAUCUCGCCAGAAGUUCAUUCGAUAAAUGGCCCAUAAAGGUCCCAGAAAUAAUUUAUCAAAAUGGAGGACCCAAUCCUGCCUGUCGUACUGCAUUUAGUUGUCACAGCUCCUCAGUCUCCUCUUGUCUGUGACAGUUCUUCAGCCUCCCCUCGUCUUUCA